rnacentral:rRNA from 1 species
CGCGUAGGCGGUCUCCUAUGUCAGGUGUGAAAGCCCGGGGCUCAACCCCGGAAGUGCACUUGAAACUGGGAGACUUGAGUAUGGGAGAGGGAAGUGGAAUUCCUGGUGUAGCGGUGAAAUGCGUAGAUAUCAGGAGGAACACCGGUGGCGAAGGCGACUUCCUGGACCAAUACUGACGCUGAGGCGCGAAGGCGUGGGGAGCAAACA